AUGCAAAGAUGUUUGAAACCUAAAGAAGCUUUGUUCCGAAACUCCAAGAACCAACUUCCCUCAUCUCACUCUCAAAUUCAAAGGAACACUAUUAAUCAACAUAUCAGUAACGACAACAACACCCAUAUCCUUGACAACCUUACCCGUUUCCAUGUCGCACGUAAUCAAGUUGAACAUGCUCGCCAUGUGUUUGAAAAAAUUCCAAAGCCAAGUGUUGUUUUGUGGAACAUGAUGAUCCGAGCUUAUGCUUGGAAUGGCCCAUUUCUACAAUCUAUUCAUCUGUACCACCGCAUGUUACAACUCGGUGUCACACCCACUAACUUCACCUUCCCUUUUGUUCUCAAAGCAUGUUCAGCUCUGCAAGCAAUUCAAGUUGGGAGACAAAUACAUGGCCAUGCCCUCACACUUGGCCUGCAAACUGAUGUCUAUGUUUCUACCGCUUUGCUUGACAUGUAUGCCAAAUGUGGGGAUUUGUUUGAAGCACACACAAUGUUUGAUAUCAUGACCCACAGGGAUCUUGUCGCGUGGAAUGCAAUCAUUGCCGGUUUUUCGCUACAUGUUCUUCACAAUCAAACAAUACACUUAGUUGUCCAAAUGCAGCAAGCGGGAAUAACGCCAAAUUCUUCAACUGUUGUAUCUGUUCUACCCACAGUUGGACAAGCUAAUGCCUUACACCAGGGGAAGGCUAUUCAUGCUUACUCUAUAAGGAAAAUCUUCAGUCAUGAUGUGGUUGUUGCAACUGGGCUUUUGGAUAUGUAUGCCAAGUGCCAUCACUUAUCUUAUGCCCGGAAAAUCUUCGAUACCGUGAACCAAAAGAAUGAGAUAUGCUGGAGUGCUAUGAUUGGGGGAUAUGUCAUUUGUGACUCCAUGAGAGAUGCUUUGGCCCUUUAUGAUGACAUGGUAUAUAUGCAUGGCUUGAGCCCUAUGCCAGCCACUCUUGCAAGCAUACUUCGAGCAUGUGCAAAGCUCACUGAUCUAAAUAAAGGGAAAAACUUGCAUUGUUACAUGAUUAAAUCAGGGAUAAGUUCAGACACAACGGUGGGAAACUCGCUGAUUUCAAUGUACGCCAAGUGUGGGAUCAUAGAUGACUCACUUGGGUUUCUUGAUGAAAUGAUAACAAAAGACACUGUGUCUUAUAGUGCUAUCAUUUCAGGAUGUGUGCAAAAUGGCUAUGCAGAGAAAGCUAUACUUAUUUUUCGGCAGAUGCAGUUGUCUGGGACCGACCCAGAUUCAGCAACCAUGAUAGGUUUGCUUCCAGCUUGUUCGCAUUUGGCCGCUCUACAACAUGGGGCAUGCUGCCAUGGGUACUCAGUCAUUCGAGGCUUCACUGAAAAUACAUCCAUUUGUAAUGCCAUUAUUGACAUGUAUGCAAAGUGUGGAAAGAUUCAUAUCAGUCGGCAAGUUUUUGAUAGAAUGAAGAAGAGGGAUAUUGUUUCGUGGAAUACAAUGAUAAUUGGUUAUGCCAUUCAUGGGCUAUACAUAGAAGCCUUUUCAUUGUUCCACGAAUUACAGGAAUCAGGCUUGAAGCUGGAUGAUGUGACCCUUAUUGCUGUUUUAUCUGCAUGUAGUCAUUCAGGCCUUGUCGUGGAAGGGAAAUAUUGGUUUAAUACCAUGAGCCAAGACCUCAACAUCUUACCAAGGAUGGCACAUUAUAUAUGCAUGGUUGACCUCCUGGCCCGAGCAGGAAAUUUGGAGGAAGCAUACUCCUUUAUUCAAAAUAUGCCAUUUCAGCCUGAUGUCCGUGUAUGGAAUGCAUUGCUUGCUGCAUGUAGGACCCACAAAAAUAUUGAAAUGGGUGAACAAGUGUCAAAGAAGAUCCAUAUGCUGGGACCAGAAGGUACUGGAAAUUUUGUUCUUAUGUCUAACAUCUACAGCUCUGUAGGCAGAUGGGAUGAUGCAGCACAAAUUAGAAGCAUACAAAGGCAUCAAGGUUACAAGAAAAGCCCAGGUUGCAGUUGGAUUGAGAUCUCUGGGGCAAUCCAUGGAUUUAUUGGUGGGGAUCGAUCCCAUCCACAAUCAGUAUCCAUAAAUAACAAGUUACAGGAAUUGUUGGUGCAGAUGAAAAAACUUGGAUAUCAUGCUGAUUCUGGUUUUGUUCUCCAUGAUGUUGAAGAAGAGGAGAAGGAACAGAUUCUCCUUUAUCAUAGUGAGAAAAUAGCCAUUGCAUUUGGAAUUCUUAAUACCAGUCCCAGCAACCCCAUUCUAGUUACAAAAAAUUUACGUAUAUGUGUUGACUGCCAUACUGCAGUAAAAUUUAUGACUCUUAUAACAAAAAGGGAGAUAACAGUACGAGAUGCAAGUCGAUUUCAUCAUUUUGAGAAUGGAAUCUGCAAUUGUCAGGAUUUCUGGUGAGAAAAAGAAAAGGUGGAAUUGUAGGUCUAUUUAGAAUCACCCAGUGGCAAAAGUUCUUCUUGUGCCACUUGCUGCCUGAACCAGGAAACUGCAUUUAGCAGGAAAAGAAGCUUCCGCAACAAGCUCAAGAAGAGGGGUGCUAACAAAGUCAGAGAUUCAGCACCAAUUAAAGAGAGCGUUCUAGGAUGAGAAUACUAGGUGACACUCAGUAUCUAAA